rnacentral:lncRNA from 1 species
UGCGUUCCCAGUUUGAUCCUCAAUCGCCAUGAAUACACACUUUGAAGAUCAAGCUGGCGAGUCACAAUUCAAGCAGAAUGAAAACGAAGCGGAAUUACUACUAAAUUGAGAACUCAAGCUUUGAUACCAUGAUAAGAUGCAGAGUACACAACAAUGGAAGAAGAAGAUGAUGAAUUAGAGAGGAGAUGUAUGAAGAUACAUGGGAGAAGCAAAUAGGAACCUUCUCAUUAUCA